UGGGGAAUAUUGCACAAUGGGCGCAAGCCUGAUGCAGCCAUGCCGCGUGUAUGAAGAAGGCCUUCGGGUUGUAAAGUACUUUCAGCGAGGAGGAAGGCGUUGUGGUUAAUAACCGCAGCGAUUGACGUUACUCGCAGAAGAAGCACCGGCUAACUCCGUGCCAGCAGCCGCGGUAAUACGGAGGGUGCAAGCGUUAAUCGGAAUUACUGGGCGUAAAGCGCACGCAGGCGGUCUGUCAAGUCGGAUGUGAAAUCCCCGGGCUCAACCUGGGAACUGCAUCCGAAACUGGCAGGCUAGAGUCUUGUAGAGGGGGGUAGAAUUCCAGGUGUAGCGGUGAAAUGCGUAGAGAUCUGGAGGAAUACCGGUGGCGAAGGCGGCCCCCUGGACAAAGACUGACGCUCAGGUGCGAAAGCGUGGGGAACAAACA
rnacentral:rRNA from 1 species